rnacentral:rRNA from 1 species
GGAGUCUGGGCCGUAUCUCAGUCCCAAUGUGGCCGUUCAACCUCUCAGUCCGGCUACUGAUCGCAGCCUUGGUGAGCCGUUACCUCACCAACUAGCUAAUCAGACGUGAGCCCAUCCUUCAGCGAUAAAUCUUUGAUCACCAGGAGAUGCCUCCCAAUGAUGUCAUGCGGUAUUAGCAGUCGUUUCCAACUGUUGUCCCCCUCUGAAGGGCAGGUUGCUCACGCAUUACUCACCCGUCCGCCACUAAGUCUACGAAUCCAUUGGCCGAAGCCUCCUUCAUCGCAGCUUCGUUCGACUUGCAUGUGUUAGGCACGCCGCCAGCGUUCGUC